rnacentral:tRNA from 1 species
GGUGGGGUCGCAUAGUGGCCGAGUGCGUUUGCUUGGAAAGCAAAUAUACCUGCAAAGGUAUCGUGGGUUCGAAUCCCACCCCCACCG